rnacentral:rRNA from 1 species
UACGGAGGAUCCAAGCGUUAUCCGGAAUCAUUGGGUUUAAAGGGUGCGUAGGCGGAUUAAUAAGUCAGAGGUGAAAUCCUACAGCUCAACUGUAGAACUGCCUUUGAUACUGUUAGUCUUGAAUCUAGUUGAAGUAGGCGGAAUGUAACAUGUAGCGGUGAAAUGCAUAGAGAUGUUACAGAACACCGAUUGCGAAGGCAGCUUACUAAGCUAGUAUUGACGCUGAUGCACGAAAGCGUGGGGAGCGAACAGG